CGAAAAAUGAUCCCGCUUAACUCUUACAUCCCGCUUUUCGUAGCACGAAUUCGGUAGUACAAAAAAAAGAAAAUAAAAAAAGGUAUGUCUAUAUAAUAUGCAACUACAUUGUAAAAUAACAACAAUUCUGAAAAUAUCGCAGCUCUAUAAACUCACUGCUUUCUACUUGAAUAGUUAAAGAUAUGUUUAAAUCACAUAAACAAACGCUUGCGCAGCAACUGAAAAGCAAGUUUUCUUUUUCCCUUGGACAUGAAAAUCCUCUAACAAAGCCAAUGCCUGUUAGUAAAAAGUUGCCACCAGAACCUACUCCUGAUGAAGAAUUGCUAAUGAAAGAAUCCUUAAAGGAAAAGCUGCUGCCUUUAAAUGAAAACUUACACAAUGAAAAUAUUAAAAGUUAUGGACCUUUCUUUUUAGAAUACUCUAUAGCUGCUGAAUUCAAUCAUGUUAAAAAAACUCGUUUACCUGGUGUUUAUGUUAUACCAUCAGCUAAAGAUCCAUUAGUUUGGUUCGGUGUUUUGUUUAUCAGGCAAGGCAUUUAUCAAGAUGGUGUUUUUCGUUUUUCUAUAGUUAUCCCAAGCAACUAUCCUGAUGGUGAUUGUCCUUCAGUCAUAUUCAAGCCUCCUGUUUACCAUCCUUUCAUAAAUGCUACCACCGGUGUCCUAGAUAUUGAAAGAGCAUUUAGUUCUUGGAGACCAAAUGUUAAUCAUUUAUGGCAAGUGCUACUGCAUCUUAGAAGGAUAUUUUAUAAAUUUGAUUCUAAAGAUCCUGUCAAUAGACAAGCAGCGGAGUUAUUCGACAAAGAUUUAAUUGCUUAUGAAAAAAAAGUAAAAGAAGAAAUCGAACACAUUAACAAUUAUCUUUAUGAUGAUGAAGAUAACACAGAUCCACAUGCUAUAAGAUUCACUGAGUGGAAUCCUGAUAUUCACGAAGAAUUAAAAAGUUCUAUAGUCAGGCAACAGACUGAAGUGAUCGAUACAAUAGAUGAAGAUUUUUCUAAACCAAGGCUGUCUGGAUUGUCUUACAUUGAACCAGGCACUCCGCUCAUAUUUAGUAAAGAGAGAAUGAAGAUAUAUUACACUUGAAAUGUUACACGUGGCCGUGCAUUUGAAUCAAAAAUUGUUUAAAAAUUUUAUCAAAAUUUUAUCAAUGUCCGUGAAGGAGCUCUACUAAAUAUAAGCAUUUGAUAAACGAAAAAUUUAUGAAAUAUUUUUAUGAUUGUAAAUAUUUUUCUUUUUUUCUUGAGAAAAUAAAGUUAUUUUAUUA